UACGUGAAACCGUUCAGGGGUAAACCUGAGAAACCCGAAAGGUCGAAGGGGGACAUUCAACCGCGCUCGGUCGGCGGCGAGAGGCGGUCGCGCGACGGUGAUCCCUCCGGGGUGAUCCGCGCCGGCCGCCGACGUCCGUCUCCGAACACGUGCACUUGUCCCCUUGUAGGACGUCGCGACCCGUUGGGUGCCGGUCUACGGCCCUCGGUGGAGCCCGUGCGGAGCCUCGCGCUCCGUCCGGACCCGAGGUGUCCCGGCCGGCUCGCCCGACGGUAUACCGAUGGCGCGGGGCCGCGGCUCGAACGCGUCCGACCCUCCGCAAGUGCGGACGGUAACCCGGCGGUCGGACCUGGUCCGGCUCCGGGCCCGCCCGGCUGCUGGCGGAGGCGCUCUCGGACAGACUCCGUGCACGCCCGUCGGCGACGCUAUAGCUUUGGGUACUUUCAGGACCCGUCUUGAAACACGGACCAAGGAGUCUAGCAUGUGCGCGAGUCAUUGGGAUUGACUAAACCUAAAGGCGCAAUGAAAGUGAAGGCCCGCCUCGCGCGGGCCGAGGGAGGAUGGGCCGGAGCACGAUCCGGCCCCGCACUCCCGGGGCGUCUCGCUCUCAUCGCGAGGAGAGGCGCACCCAGAGCGUACACGCUGGGACCCGAAAGAUGGUGAACUAUGCCUGGUCAGGACGAAGUCAGG
rnacentral:rRNA from 1 species